rnacentral:lncRNA from 1 species
GCUAGCUUUUAUUAAUACUAAUUACAAGGAUGGAAAUCAACUCCUAGGUAUGUUGAAGUAUUCCAAAAAAAAUAGAUUUGAAGGCAAUAAUUAACUUUAUUUGAUGUAACUUUUUCUCCUAAUUUCAGUGAUGCCGAUAUUUCUAAUAUUAAUUCGAUGAGAACGGAGUAAUUUGAUGUUUUCGACAGAGUUUUUCUCAACUAUAUUUUCUGUUAAAUACAGCAAACCUGGCUUCAUGUAAUUUCUUCAGAUGAUAGAUGCCACCGUUCAGAAUAUAAUUUGAAUCUUGAAAUUAGCAUGUUUUCAAAAAAACAUACUAUUUCCCUUCUCUUCUACUGAGACUAUAUGGGCUAGUGAUGGUUAAGUUAAAGGGGAUUGAGAGAUUUGUCAAGGCUACAUAAUAAAAAUUAUUCUGUCGGUCUAUCUGAGAUUUUCUCCACUACCAAUUGAACGAUCAAGAAAAAACUACGGAUUCAAACUCCCAACAACAAGCGAAAAAGCAAUGCCAGCGAAACUUGCCUCGUAUGAUAACUAUCGGACGAGGCUAAUUUGGAAUGAAGCACGUUCAACGACGUCUCUGCGGAUUUUC